UCUUGACUAGUAUAUCGGUUCAGUACACCCGCUUGUCAUAUCUGUUCAUAGCUGGCGUUUCGCGGGAGAGCAGGGUUCGACUCCCUGGUCGAGAG